GUGAGGAAUAUUGGACAAUGGGCGCAAGCCUGAUCCAGCCAUCCCGCGUGCAGGAAGACGCAUCUAUGGUGUGUAAACUGCUUUUGUACGGGAAGAAACACUCCCUCGUGAGGGAGCUUGACGGUACCGUAAGAAUAAGGAUCGGCUAACUCCGUGCCAGCAGCCGCGGUAAUACGGAGGAUCCAAGCGUUAUCCGGAAUCAUUGGGUUUAAAGGGUCCGUAGGCGGUUUAAUAAGUCAGUGGUGAAAGCCCAUCGCUCAACGAUGGAACGGCCAUUGAUACUGUUAGACUUGAAUUACAAGGAAGUAACUAGAAUAUGUAGUGUAGCGGUGAAAUGCUUAGAUAUUACAUGGAAUACCAAUUGCGAAGGCAGGUUACUACUUGUGGAUUGACGCUGAUGGACGAAAGCGUGGGGAGCGAACAGGAUUAGAAACCCUGGUAGUCC
rnacentral:rRNA from 1 species